rnacentral:rRNA from 1 species
GUCUAUGGCCAUCCCCUCCUGAACAAGCAUGAACCUGUCUGAUCUUGGAAGCUAAGCAGGGUUGGGCCUGGUUAGUACUUGGAUGGGAGACCACCUAGGCAGACCAAGUGCGGUAGGCA